UACACAGACAUAUGUUGGGGUGAGAUAUUUAGGAAAGACAAGAAUGGGUUCAUUCAUAGAUCCAGGCCACAGGCUGGGAGUGAAUACAAAAUAUAUAGGAUGGACACUAUGAAGCUAUUCCAAGGAAAAAGAAAUUAUAAGGGAGAAUGAAUACACAAGGAGAAUAUCUCCAACUACCUUCAAUGGAAUGGGAGAAGUCCUAAGGAAGUGUGUCUCCAAAUUGUUUCCUGUACUCUAGAGAACAGCAAAAAUAAGAGAAUAACAGCAACAGCGAAUUAUCCUCGGCACUCUUCAUUAUAUCCACUUCUCAGGGACCUUCAGCCCCAUGACUGAGGUCAGUCCUCUCAAGUAUCAAAGGAUGCCUCACAUUUUCAGGCAAAUGAAACAAAAUUCACAUAUCUAAUGAGUAUUUAGAAAGCAGAGGUUCCAGUUGAACAUACAUAGAAAGAAAAGGAUGAAACACCAUUGCAUUUGUGAGCUGGGAGUGCUUUCUCAUUCUUUCAUUGGAAAUAUUUUGUUAUUGGAUUAUGAAGCUGAUAAUUGUCUGGAAGGGCAUGGAGAGGUCAUAAGAACCAUCUUUCAGGAGCUUCUCGAAAUCUUGAGUCCCAGAGAGGCAUUCCAGAGAAAAAGUUACACAGGACAUUGAUGCAAAUUGUUCAUGUGCCUGGCGAUCUCCGGUGGAACAGAUGUUGUUGAAGUAUAAUUGUCCUGGGUGAGAAACAAAAACUGCAGUUAGACUUCCAUUCUCAUUAAUUUUCUCAGAUGCAAGUAAACAGCAAAGUCUGACUCAGUGAACAAAGGAUGCUGUACUUUCUCCCAGGUCACUCUUCUGCCAUUUAACAUUUCUCUUGUCUCCAAGGAUGGGUCUCUUCUUAAACUCAUAAAGGGUGAUCUGUACUUAGAUGCUGAGAAGGAACCACAGAUGCUGAUGUUGAAAU